GAAGGAUCAUUAUCUAUUUGUUGGAUGUGGUCGCGGCCCCCGUAUUCCGGGUGGUAGGGGUAACACCCUCACGCGCCACAUGCACUAAUCCUCUUUUUACGAGCACCUUCUGUUCUCCUUCGGCGGGGCAACCUGCCGUUGGAACCAACAAAACCUUUUGAAUUCAGUAUUACCUGUUCUGAUACAAACAAUCGUAACAACUUUCAACAAUGGAUCUCUUGGCUCUGGCAUCGAUGAAGAACGCAGCGAAAUGCGAUAGCUAGUGUGAAUUGCAGAUUUCAGUGAAUCAUCGAGUCUUUGAACGCAAGUUGCGUCUGAGGCCACCCGGUCGAGGGCACGCCUGCCUAGGAGUCACGCACCGUGCUGCCCCACCCGACACUCGCCCCAUCCAGCGGCAGCGCCACGGGGCGGAGAAUGGUCGCCCAUGUGCCCCGCGUGCACGACCGACUGAAAGGCAUUCGCUUUCCCACCGUGACACGAACACGGCGGUAGGUGGUUUGAGAGGCGGCUGCCUCGUCGGAGCCCGGACGCCGCGCCUGGGGGCAAGCAGAGCGAAGUGACACCCAACUCAGUCGCCCUCGCGCGGCCCUCGUGCAGCGACCCCAGGUCAGGCGAGGACACCCGCUGAGUUUAA
rnacentral:rRNA from 1 species